rnacentral:rRNA from 1 species
GAUGAACGCUGGCGGCGUGCCUAAUACAUGCAAGUCGAGCGAACGGACGAGAAGCUUGCUUUUCUGACGUUAGCGGCGGACGGGUGAGUAACACGUGGAUAACCUACCUAUAAGACUGGGAUAACUUCGGGAAACCGGAGCUAAUACCGGAUAAUAUUUUGAACCGCAUGGUUCAAAAGUGAAAGACGGUCUUGCUGUCACUUAUAGAUGGAUCCGCGCUGCAUUAGCUAGUUGGUAAGGUAACGGCUUACCAAGGCAACGAUGCAUAGCCGACCUGAGAGGGUGAUCGGCCACACUGGAACGGAGACACGGUCCAGGCUCCUACGGGAGGCAGCAGUAGGGAAUCGUCCGCAAUGGGCGAAAGCCUGACGGAGCAACGCCGCGUGAGUGAUGACGGUCUUCGGUUCGUAAAACUCUGUUAUUGGGGGAGAACAGAUGUGUAAGUAACUGUGCACAUCUUGACGGUACCUAAUCAGAAAGCCACGGCUAACUACGU